UACGAAGGGGGCUAGCGUUGCUCGGAUUUACUGGGCGUAAAGGGCGCGUAGGCGGAUGACCAAGUUGGGGGUGAAAGCCCGGGGCUCAACCUCGGAAUUGCCUUCAAAACUGGUUGUCUUGAGUAUGGGAGAGGUGUGUGGAACUCCGAGUGUAGAGGUGAAAUUCGUAGAUAUUCGGAAGAACACCAGUGGCGAAGGCGACACACUGGCCCAUUACUGACGCUGAGGCGCGAAAGCGUGGGGAGCAAACAGG
rnacentral:rRNA from 1 species